AUUGAACGCUGGCGGCAAGCCUAACACAUGCAAGUCGAACGAGUGGCGGACGGGUGAGUAAUGUCUGGGAAACUUCCUGAUGGAGGGGGAUAACUACUGGAAACGGUAGCUAAUACCGCAUACCAUCGGAUGUGCCCAGAUGGGAUUAGCUAGUAGGUUGGGUAAAGGCUCACCUAGGCGACGAUCCCUAGCUGGUCUGAGGGGAUGACCAGCCAAACGGGAACGGAGACACGGUCCAGACUCCUAAGGGAGGCAGCAGGGGGGAAUAUUGCACAAUGGGCGCAAGCCUGAUGCAGCCAGGCCGCGUGUAUGAAGAAGGCCUUCGAGGUGUAAAGUACUUUCAGCGGGGAGGCGUUACCCGAAGAAGAAGCACCGGCUAACUCCGUGCCAGCAGCCGCGGUAAUUC
rnacentral:rRNA from 1 species